GGCACAGGCUAUGCAGCUGCACUAAGUACUGGUGGUCAGGGGCCCUAUGGUGGACAGAAGGAUGGAAGCAAGCUUAGUGGCAUUUAUGGGAAUGGCUACAGAGGCUGAUUUCCAAGGCCAUGCUGUUAAACUCGUCAGUGUUUUUUUUUGCCCCUUUAUGCCUAGUGUUCCUCACUGUUGUGCAGUUUUGUGACAUGUUUUUGUCUGCCUUAUUGGUUUAGUGUUAGUUUUGUGCCCAUUUGUGUGGGCAUGUGUGUUUUGUGUGUAGGUGUGGUUUUGAUGUUCAUUGUUCUGUUUGUGGAUGUUCCCCCAGUCUGUUCAUUUGUCUUGUCCAGUGGAGUGUUUCAUGUCCCUUGUGUGUCUCUGUAUCUAACUAAAACAUGCUGAGCACUUAAUUGGCUGUUAUUUUAAUUCUUAUGAAACACUAAAUAUUCCAC